UACGUAGGGUGCAAGCGUUGUCCGGAAUUAUUGGGCGUAAAGAGCUCGUAGGCGGUUCGUCGCGUCGGCUGUGAAAUCCCGAGGCUCAACCUCGGGUCUGCAGUCGAUACGGGCGGACUGGAGUUCGGCAGGGGAGACUGGAAUUCCUGGUGUAGCGGUGAAAUGCGCAGAUAUCAGGAGGAACACCGGUGGCGAAGGCGGGUCUCUGGGCCGAUACUGACGCUGAGGAGCGAAAGUGUGGGGAGCGAACAGG
rnacentral:rRNA from 1 species